AUUGAACGCUGGCGGCAGGCCUAACACAUGCAAGUCGAGCGGGGUUUUCGGACCUAGCGGCGGACGGGUGAGUAAUGCGUAGGAAGCUACCCGAUAGAGGGGGAUACCAGUUGGAAACGACUGUUAAUACCGCAUAAUGUCUACGGACCAAAGUGUGGGACCUUCGGGCCACAUGCUAUCGGAUGCGCCUACGUGGGAUUAGCUAGUUGGUGAGGUAAUGGCUCACCAAGGCGACGAUCCCUAGCUGGUUUGAGAGGAUGAUCAGCCACACUGGAACUGAGACACGGUCCAGACUCCUACGGGAGGCAGCAGUGGGGAAUAUUGGACAAUGGGCGCAAGCCUGAUCUAGCCAUGCCGCGUGUGUGAAGAAGGCCUUCGGGUUGUAAAGCACUUUCAGUAAGGAGGAAGAGUUGUGUGUUAAUAGUACACAGCUUUGACGUUACUUACAGAAGAAGCACCGGCUAACUCUGUGCCAGCCGCCGCUGUAAUAC
rnacentral:rRNA from 1 species